rnacentral:rRNA from 1 species
GAUGAACGCUGGCGGCGUGCCUAAUACAUGCAAGUCGAGCGAACAGACGAGGAGCUUGCUCCUCUGACGUUAGCGGCGGACGGGUGAGUAACACGUGGAUAACCUACCUAUAAGACUGGGAUAACUUCGGGAAACCGGAGCUAAUACCGGAUAAUAUAUUGAACCGCAUGGUUCAAUAGUGAAAGACGGUUUUGCUGUCACUUAUAGAUGGAUCCGCGCCGCAUUAGCUAGUUGGUAAGGUAACGGCUUACCAAGGCAACGAUGCGUAGCCGACCUGAGAGGGUGAUCGGCCACACUUGAACUGAGACACGGUCCAGACUCCUACGGGAGGCAGCAGUAGGGAAUCUUCCGCAAUGGGCGAAAGCUUGACGGAGCAACGCCGCGUGAGUGAUGAAGGUCUUCGGAUCGUAAAACUCUGUAUUAGGGAAGAACAAAUGUGUAAGUAACUAUGCACGUCUUGACGGUACCUAAUCAGAAAGCCACGGCUAACUACGUG